GGGAAGAGCCCAAGAUUGAAAGCUGGCGUCUUCGGCGUCCGCAUUGUAAUCUCAAGAAGUGUUUUCCGCUUCGGACCAAGCCUAAGUCCCCUGGAAAGGGGCAUCAUAGAGGGUGAUAAUCCCGUACAUGGCUUGGAGCGCCCGAGGCUUUGUGAUACGCUUUCUAAGAGUCGAGUUGUUUGGGAAUGCAGCUCAAAAUGGGUGGUAAAUGCCAUCUAAGGCUAAAUAUUGGGGAGAGACCGAUAGCGAACAAGUACAGUGAUGGAAAGAUGAAAAGAACUUUGAAAAGAGAGUUAAACAGUACGUGAAAUUGCCAAAAGGGAAGGGUAGGAGGUCAGAGAUGCGGCCUGGGAUUCAGCCUUGCUUUUGCUUGGUGUUUUUCCCAGAUUGCAGGCCAACGUCGGUUUUGGGCACUGGAGAAGGGUAGGAGGAACGUGGCACCUCUCGGGGUGUGUUAUAGCCUCCUACUGGAUACAGCGACCGAGACCGAGGACAGCAGCGUACUCGCAAGAGCGGGCCUUCGGGCACCUUUACGCUUAGGGCGUUGGCAUAAUGGCCCUCUACCACCCGUCUUGAACCCACAGAC
rnacentral:rRNA from 1 species